rnacentral:lncRNA from 1 species
CUCCCGACAGGAAGGAAGUGCUAGUCACAAGACCCAAUUACCACUCCCAGUUGGGCCCUUCCCCCACAAACUGUCAGUCUUGUUUCCUUUCCAAAUAGGAAUUCAAAAUUCAAAAUGCUAGGGAAUUCAAAAGUGUCAAUCAUAACUUUGAACAUGAAUGGGAUGAACUCACCCAUAAAACAUAGACGAAUAGGAGAGUAGAUUAGAAUCCAAAUUCCUACCAUAUGUUGUCUACAAGAAAUGCACAUGAGGCGAGUAGAUACUCACAAGGUCAGAAUUAAAGGGUGGAGUAUGACCUAUUGGACCUGUGGAAAGGAAACAAGACUGACAGUUUGUGGGGGAAGGGCCCAACUGGGAGUGGCAGUUGGGUCUUGUGACUAGCACUUCCUUUCUGCCGGAUGGGGCUUGCUUCCUGGUGUUGGAGGAGAGAGGAGCUUGUUCAGCCCAGUCUGGAGUGCCAUGCUCUUUCUUGGUUCAGCCUGAAGAUUCAAGUCCAAUCUGUUCUGAAGUUUCUUCUCUUGAGGAAGACAUAUACCGGUCAUUCUUCAAACACUAUUUCUGUUGCUGCUUAUAAUGUUUUCUUGAUUCUGCUCAUUGCAUUCUUCAAAAUUUCAGGUUGAUGACUUCCUUAGGAAGCAAUCCAGAGCCUACCUCUCCCAUGACCUUCUGGGCCACUAUGAGAUAUACCCUUCCUAUGCAGUUCACACUAUUUGGAUGAGCAGUGAAUUACCAACUUUAAUCCAGAAUGAUGAGACCAUCAGUCCUUAUCAUUUGCCCAGCCACUACAGUUUACAAACCCCUGAGCAUUGCCAUUUCCCCUGCCAGGGUACCCUGAGAAUUUUGAGGCUUUCUUUUCCAUCCUGCAGCUGAAUGUUCCUUUAAGUGUUGUUUCCUCCAACUAGAAUGAGAGCUCCUUGAGAGCAGGGAUCAAUUCAUUUUUUAUUUAUAGUCGCAAGGCUCAGCACAGUGUUUGGAAUAUUGUAAGGGUUUAAUAAAUACUUUUUCAUUCACUCA